CAGCUUCUCCUGUGACCGGCGGAUAAACCCCUGCCCUACAAGCGCACAGCAUGGGCCUCCCACAACCACAGCUCCACAUCAGCAACCAUCAUCCGCUAUGAAUUCUGCAGCGAAAGGGCAGGGGCAGCAAGUGAUCAUUUCCUGGGCACCAGACCUAUCUGCAGCCUGCUUCUAAGCAAGGGAAAAACCCCCUCAUUUCCGGGGCACACCUAGCAAACCACACAUGGGGGAGCAGUGACCCUCCUGACCUCCAUCGAUGGACACCCUGCAGCAACAAGCCUGAUGAAGGGAAAUGUUGGCACCAGAGGCAGAUAACCUGUCAGGUGUACGCUCUAAUGUCCGGAGCCCCGCUCCCAGGUUCGUGGCUCUACAACAGAAUCUCAAGCUUGCCUUUUAAAGGACACACUGCAGCCGGCUCCUGGUCAUCCUGUAUCACGAAGGCUGUCGUUGCCUGAUGGCAAGCCUGCUGCCUAAGACGACAACUCCCAGCGCGAAAGCAGGGAUUGAACCACGCCUGGGAAGAAGGGACAGAUGUGGGGGCGGGGGAGACUUGACAUAAUCAUGUUGCCCCUCAGCUUUGUUAAUUUCACACCCCCCGAAUUUCACUUCACUGAAGCUGCCAGAGAAAACACAACCAGCCCCUCUGUCUGCUGGGCUAUUGCUUCUUAUGAAAGCAUCACAUUUUCAUUCACCUCCUACCCGAUCUACAAAGGCCGCAGGCUCGGGCCAAGUCACCAGUUGCAGCAGGGUCACAUUGACUUUCAUGGAGUCUGGCCCAUUUUCACCAGCAGAGAAUUUGGCCUUUGUCACCCAUUCCCAGGUGUAGGCUACAUUAACCCCCUCCCCUCCCUUCCCCUCCCCAUAUAGAGGGCACCAUAACAGAUUCACUCACCCAGCCCGGUUUCAGGCUAGCAGCGGCUGCCUCAGUUUCUCCUCACUCAGGUCAGAUCUCCCCACCUUGCAGCCAGGUUUGGUUGCCAUGGUAACCUGGCCCUCCAGCCAAGUCCUUAAAGGAGACAUCUACCCCACCCAGGGUACCCACGGCCAAAACAAACAAGAGUCUUCCACCCCCUUCUGAAGCUGGGCCCAUCUCCUCCUGCCUGAGGGUCUGCGUCCCUCCCCAGCCCUUCUUGGGCUCUGCUGAGUGUCUCCAUGGAGCAGCAACACCCAGCGUUUCCUACCUGGGGGUCUUUCCUUGCAGCUCUCCCCAGGCGUCUGUCUCAUCUCCACCCCAGAAAGCCCAGGUCUGCCCCAGGCCCAGCCCCUCAUGUGACUUUGUUCAUUUUCUCCACUUGGGGAGGUGAAGUAAGUGAGUGUCAAGACCCUGGGCAGAGGGAGGCCGGACCAGAAGCCGGGUGUCAGAACCAGUAUCAGGGUCACCAGUCGAGUCAAGGGUCCGAGCGAAAACCAGGGUCCAUGUUGGGGCUCCAGGGGUCAGUCAGAGACCAAGUGAGGGCCAAGGUCAGUACCAAGAACUCAGACACUGGGCAAUCAGCACUAAAGACCGACCGACCGACCGACCGACCGACCGACCGACCGACCGACCGACCGACCGACCGACCGAGCUCCCUGAACACGGCCCACCCCUUCCCAUGGGCUUAUAUAGGGUCAAAGAGCCAAUGAGGGAUCACUAAGGGAACUGUCAGUCAGAUCACACAAGGCGGAACUUCCUGCAGAGUGCAACAGCUGUUGAUUGCGGGAGUAACAUCCUAGGGUGCAACCAGCAGUAGGGCACUGUUGGUUUCCUAGUAACCCUACAGACCUGAGUUCAAAUCCCAGUGAUCCUUAUCUAGGGUCAUAGGUGGGGCUAGACCCAUCUACCCCGGAGGGGCACUCUAACCCCAUCCUUUUCCCCUUACCAAGUCUAGGACACCUCACCUCCUCCUCUCCUGCUACUAUAGCCCUACUUUUCUCCUUCCCAUCCACACUGCACACCAGCUCCGUGCUUUCUCGGUCCUUAAAACUCAUUAAAUCAAUUGCACUAAAGUUUAAAAUGUCGCUCUCCAAGGAUUAUCGGGAGGAGAUGGUGUUGACAGAGGUGAGUCAUGUAACUCGACAUGCCCAUAGGGUUAGAUCCAGAAGCGUUCACCAGCCUGUAUAAGCAGGCCAUGGGAUUUCACCCAGGGACCCCUGCAGGAAGCCCUGUCUCUUGUGUGGGAGAUCACAUCUUUUAUUGGAGCAACUUCAAUGGACCUGAAGACGAGCUCUGGGGAGCUUGAAAGCUUGUCCCCUGCUUCCCCCCACAGAAGUCGGGUGCCUCCCCGCACCUUGUCCCUCUAAUAUCUUGCCACCCACACAGCUACCGCCCCACUGCAAGCAAAGAACAAACUGCAUUCAGACCAGGUGGUGGCAGUACGCGACCACGCUUGGCUUCGGCAGCUAUUGAAAUUUAACAGCCAGGAUCAGGCCACCUGCCGCCUUUUCGCCAGUAACAGGGCUGGGUUCUCCAUCACCAUUUACACUCAUGAGCGGGAUCCGGGUUUGUCCCAAGCAGGCCCCUCGCA